UCUGGAGCACAGGCCUUAUGAAGAGCGGCUGAAGGAGCUGGGAUUGUUCAGUCUAGAGAAGAGGAGGCUCAGGGGAGACCUUAUUGCUCUCUAUAACUACCUGAAGGGAGGUUGUAGUGAGCUGGGGGUUGGCCUCUUCUCUCGUGUGACUAGUGAUAGGACUAGAGGGAAUGGCUUCAAGCUGCACCAGGGAAGAUUCAGGCUGGACAUUAGGAAAUACUGCUUCUCUGAAAGGGUGGUCAGGCACUGGAAUGGGCUGCCCAGAGAGGUGGUGGAGUCACCGAGCCUGGUGGUGUUCAAAGAGCGUUUGGAUGUUGUGUUGAGGGACAUGGUUUAGUGAGAACCAUUGGUGAAGGGCGAAUGGUUGGACUGGAUGAUCCUGUGGGUCUUCUCCAACCUUAGCGAUUCUAUGAUUCUAAGAUGAGUCUAAUUCACCAACACGUCCACGUGAAGGCCAAAAAGUGAAGACAGGUGACUGCGGGACAGUCUUCAUUCUCUCUUCACUUGAAGAAAAAGCCAAGCUAACACUCAACUACCAAGCAGCAUCCUAGCAGCAAGCUGACCAACAGCUACAACAUCAGAGGGCCCCAGCCCUCCUGGAGACAUGCAGCCAGAUGCCACAUUCUGUUACACUCCAUCCAUACGCAAGCGGUUCCACUCAAACCACAGCAGUAAUGACAGAGGUGGGCUCCAGACCGCUUACCCACCGCUGGCUGUGGUGAAGCACCUCGCUGCAACACAGGCAUGAAGCAUGACAAGCUGGUGCUGCAGCUCGGGCUGCACAGCACUGCUGGUUUCACAGAGGCACGCCGGCUAGGGCAAGAGCUGCACAAACAGCACCAAGUGCUGCAGCCAGCCCGCUGACAGCUCAGACAAACAGACUGCACAGUGCUGCUGCUAACGUAGCAGAAGCAUGUCUUAGUUUGCAUUUCUUCCAUUCCUUUCAAGCAGCAUGACGUCCAACAAGUUCAAGUCCUUAGGUAGCCGAUGUCUUUCUCGGUUGCUAUUUAAUGCCUUUCAGAUGCUUGCUAGGUACCUCCUGUUCCAUCCUACUUAGGGCCCAUUCUGGCUGCAUUCUGAACAGAUGUCAACAUUUGGAUAGUAAUGUCAUACAACAAAUGUCACUCAGGAAGUUUAUUAUCACAACUUUAUUUCACUCAGUCAGUGCACACUAUUUCUCCUGAAUUUGCCUUAGAGCUGCAAUCAAAAUAAGCUCGUGGUGACCAACAAAUCCCAGGCUGUCCCCAUGUCAGUUUGUGGCAGUCUCAUAGAGGAAGACCACGCACCAUGGCUGAGUUAUUCCCCCAGCUCGUACAAACAUAGAACAAAACACAGAUUCUGAUUCUUUCUCCAGUCCUGCCAGGGUCGUAAGAGUCACCUAUAUUUUAAGUCAAUCCAUAACAUAGUCGUGCAGUGCCCUGAAAAAAGACACAGUGCAGUUUUAAACUACAGGUUAGUGACCCGUGACAUCCACCAUUCCUCCUCCUUCCCCCUCAGCACAGACCUCAAAGCACAUUAGACAGACUAUACUGCAGUGUCAGCUAUCACCCUACACCUUAAUCGACUGUCAAGUUCAAAAAGUAAAUAGGACUGUAUGAUCAACAACAAAAACAUCAGGCCAAAUCGCAGGGAACAUCCAAGAAGAUUUACUAAGACUGACAGUAGGAAACUUGAAACUCAUCCCUGAUUCUAAGAGGAGGCAGAGGAGACCUAAGGGAAAAGUUAAAGCAUCUUCUCAGUUCUGCAAACCAGAAGAUGCAAAGGAAAAGUGCCUGCCCACUUAUUUGUCUUUGGCCUUUCCACCAGCCCUGGAGAAGUAACGCUCACAGAGGAGCCCUGGUAAUACAGCCGGAGCAGCUGGUGAGGAUGCAGGCAGGCAGAACACAAAGGAGAGAAACACAAAGUCCAGGAUGGAUUAAUCCCUCAUCUGUAAUAAAGCAAGAGGGGGUGGCACCGUCUGACUUCCUUUUUGUUUUUGACACCAGCAAACAAUUGCAGUUCUGAGCAAACUCCACACCUAUUAAUGACAUGGUUUGGGAGUUUGUUCGUUAAAACUGGAUGCUCAAACCUUAAGACAUUAGUAUGAAAUUAAAGUCUUGUGGUAAGAGAUGGUGUUCAUGAUAUCCAUACUGUAGUGCUUUAGUAUUGGUAGAACAAUGACUACUGGUACAUCUGCAGCAAAAUAUUUUACUUCGCAGUUCAACUUUAAUCAAAAGGAAAUUUGCAUCCCUUGCUGAGGGAAGAAAAUACCAGUGAUCAAAUCUGUGGUACUUAGGCGCAGCCUGAAGUGAUAGGCAAUGCUGCCCAAGCAGAGGCUCGGUCUUUAAGGCAGCGCUGCUAAGCCUGAAGAGGAAAGCGAUCAGAGAGCAGAUUGGACCAUGCAAAGGUGGAUGACCACAGCUACAACCUUUCGCCUCUGAGCAGGCAGGGGGAGAUCAGUCCAAAUCACCAUCUCCUAACUCUUGCCCACCUCUUUAGAAAGAAUCUGACACGAGGGUGCAGUAUGCAGCUCCCUCCUCAACAGCUACAGUGGCUUUUAGAAGAAUCUGUCAAGCCGGGACGUCCUGCUCAUGGUCACACUUCUUUCCUGACUCUCAUGAAGGAUUCCUGUUUGCAGUGAUGCCCAUACCUGCGAUCCUUUGAGUCAUUAGAGGAAAUUAAACUGGAUUAAAAAAUUCUAAGGGAAAAAAAAAAGUGCAAUGAAAACUAUUUGGUUUUACUUGUCUACAUUACUGUUCCAUUCUUUACUUGUUAAAAUUACAUUCCACCUGAUGUUUGUGCCUUUGGCUUUAAAACAUGAUAUAUUCCGUAGGAAAAAAAUGUACCGCAGAGUAAAAUGGAACUUAUUUUUGUCUUAAAAAUGAGGAAAAAAAUCACCCAAGUGGCAGCAAAUAUACGAACAGAUAGAAUGUAAUUGUGUUAGCAUUUGAAUUCUGCACUUCAAGCUGCCUUUGAUCAACCCGAUUAACAUUCCUUUCUAAAAAUCUUAUAGCUGAUGCACUUCAUGAACACAGCUAAAGUAGAUUAAUCUGCUCUAAAUUGUACAUUUCCUAAGAUUACUGUUCCUCUGAUUAAUUUUACAAAAAACACGUGCGACUAUGUACAAAUGCAUUUUUGUCAGUGAUAAAAUAAACCCCUGAGAGAGCUACCAGUAACUGGCCAAGAGAUACCGCUGCAAACGUCUAAUAAAUCAGCGCGCCGUAUGAUGCAAUGCUAUGUGAUCUCAUACACCAAAUACUACACUUCUUGUUCAAGCACAAGAAAAAAGAGCCGUUGUCAGCUUAUACCACCUGACUGGUUAAAAUCCAAUUCUUCUGGUAUCACUACCUACACGGCAACGCUGCCAGAUAGUCAAAGUGACUGCAGUUGGUCCACAAACCUUCCUCUACUGAAGUCAGUGAUAAAACGUUAAACACAUUCAAUGGCACGGUUUGACACAGUUGAAUUUCAGAGACGAUGGGUCUGAAAGGGACCCAUCUGAGCCGCGAUCUGAGGGGGAGGCUCACCUUGACCUCCCCAGGACAGCCGUGAGCAGACUGAUGUCCCUUCACCCCACAAAUCCCCGUGCCUGGUGCUGUAGCUAAGCGCUGCUGAACUCAGGUACCCUCUGGAAGCACUGCAAGGCAGUAAUUAGCGUGAGGCUUGUAAUGCAUUCCCCAGCCAGAAACACGGGUUGCUGUGGCCACUGGAGUCAGAGAGUGUGAAAAGGGGGUGGGGGGGGACGGGGGGGUAAAGAAAAACAGGUAACAGCAGAGAAAGCACCGUGAUAUUUUAUUUAAGUAUCAAACAUUAAGAAAAUUACCAUUAUCAACUGAACUGUCCAAUGAGUAUUACAGGAAAACGGUGAUAUAAAGAAAAAUACAUUUCCAUUCGAAUAUAUUAUUGCAGUGGAGAGGAUUAACGAUGCACAGGAGACACCUCUGACACAAACGUGCAUUUCCUAAAUCGCGCUAAGGCUUUGUUUUGAUUUUUUUGGAGAAAUGAUGCCUUUAACAUCCUGCCUGCAGACGAUACGAUUUUAAAACGCAACCGCAACAGCCAUCUAAACCCUUCCUUUAUUUUCUGGGAAGCGCUGUGCUCCGCUCCCAUUAAGCCUACCGGUAACUGCGAGCUGUUAACAUGCCUUCGUGUGGUUUCGGCAUUCCUACGGCAAGGCUAAGCAGCAGUCAGAAAACAAUGAUAUCCCCAGGCCCGCACUGUAGUUUCUCAAGCAGAGAUUAAGCACGGUAUUCUGCUCAACAAGCUCAUCACUGUUAAGUAACUCAUCAGAAAAUAAAGAGGGAAUUAUCAAAUGGGAAUUGCCAAGUAAUUAGUUCUCUGAAGCAGAUGACAUACAACUGUUAAAGGGAGGGGCUUCCCUGUUAGUCAUAUGUCAGAGUAGAGCCCACUAAUCUGUAAAUAAAAAUGCAUUUCACAUGAUUAGCGCAAUGGGUUUUUAACCACUAGCAGUACACGAAGAAUUAAUUUGCAACUUUUUGUGCUGUAAUAAAGCCGGCAAGAUUUUCUCCCUUUGCAUACAAUGCUUUUCCCAACGCUGCGGCUCGCCCGCUGUCACACUGCCUGGAGACAGACGGCCAUGAAGCCGGGCUGCUACCAGGGAGGGGACGUGCUGAAGGGCUAAGGAAGAGGCUAAGUGCAUUUACUAUCAUAGUAACCGGAAAAGGCACUCCCUGCUCAGCUGCUCCACGUGAUGCUGACAAGGACGGCACCAAUGAGCAACCGUUCCCUGGCACACCAAUUCUGAGCGCGGCGCAGGAGGAUUAAGCCUGCUUUCUGCACUUAGCCUUCCCCGCUAAAGCCUGACUUUCUUCAAGCAGCUCGUCUCACAGAAAUGUUCAGUUUGCAAAACCUGAAGGGCCUUGGUGCAUGGGUACCUGACAAACAAAGAUGUGGUAAUGCUCGCGACCACAUUCCAACACAAACGAGAAACACUUAAACUCUUCUGCCUUUUAUAGACUGAAGAGUGAGUCAGUAAACCCUUAAAUCAGGUUUUCGGCUAGUCCCAAACAGAACCAGCACUGCUAACUCACCAACAACUAAAGAAGCGACUACCAAACAUGCCAAGGGUAAGAGAAGGAGGGCACGUAUGAUGCUGAGGCCUAUAUAGAACUACAGAUCAGGGAUGGCAAUCACAGCAUUCUGACCCUCAGCACGUGCUCUGCUUCUAAUGUUUGCUCCAUCAGCCAAAAUAUCACGCUCUAAAGUAACGCUAGCACAGGACAGAUCUCCACAGCAUAUCAUGGAAGGUGAAUCAAACCUCAGGCAGUGGCUUCUACCACAUUACCGAUGAGAGCCCAGUGCUUCAAUCUAGACAAGUCACUACAGCCAGCUCCGUUUAUACUUCAGACGGUGUUACAAAACCUCCAGUCAAUGUGACAUCGGGCUACAGCAGCAUCUGCUGAGGAAACAGCAGAGCAAAGCCACGGCAGGGCACCGCAGGGGUGACGGGGUAGGGCUGGGGAAGCGACCAGGCCUCAUCUCCAACAUCUGACACUGCAUUCACAUCUUUUCAUUUAAUUUAUCAAAGAGUUACUCACUCAGGCACAAAACAAACAAUUAAAAAAAAAUUAAAAUGAUUUCUAAUUACUCUCCAAUUAUACCUAGUUCGCACCUCCAUUUCAUUUGUGCUGUCAAUGCUCUCACAGUCUCCACCGCUGCCUUCUUUUAGCCCUACAGCCAUUGCAGGCCUUGAUAAACAGUGUAAGAGGGAGGAAAUAAAAUCAGCUGUGAUAAAGGAACACCGAUAUGGCAAUCAAAAAAUUGCCUUUGGACACACUGAUAUUGAGACAGAUCACCUCUUUCUACAUGCAGUACAUAAUAUUUUAAGAGAACAGCCUGUUGCUCAUUUACAGACAGCGGCAGCCAGAAGCCUGUAUAAAGCACAGCUUAGGCCUGUGAAAAAUAAACCCUACCAGGUAGUGUGCAGAUAUACCGAUGGAAAAUUCAGCAAAAAUAAAAAAAAGAAAUUUACAAACAGGCUGUGGCUGCAAAUUCAACCCGGUACUAUAACGUGAUUAAUAGAUAUCAAGUGACUCAACAGUGGAAAAGAUUGAAAAGAACCCUCUAGUUGUUCAAACAACCAGUGCCUCAUGCAAAACCCUCUCGACACAACUGCUUAAAAGAAAGCAUUGAGUCAUUUGCCUGCGUGGAAGGAGGCAGAGCGAGUUCUGAACAAAUAACAAUAACUCGACGGUUUUUAGCUCGGGCUAAAAGUAACUAAAGUCAGGAAUCAGGGGGUAAAGGAAAAAUAAAAAGCCGUACCUCAACACAUGUAAUUUUAUUUUCACUAAGCCCAGCGUCCUCAUGCAGGCAGCGAGCUCUGCAGGCUGCAGGAAAGCUGCUCGAACCCGAGCGGCAGGCACGCCUCAAGCGUACGCACCGCAGCGGCUUCACUCCCUGCAGCCACACGCCUCCUCGUGUGAGUACAAACGCACGUGGGGGGACACCAGGGCUGAAGCAAAGCUUCUGAGCUCUGAUCGUGGAGGUGCCCCGUGAAAUAAACGUGCCUGAUGUCCCGUCCCUCGGACAGACCCCGUGGCAAUAAGCUGGGUCUGUGCAGAACAGAGCAGGGCUGCUGAUACUUCUCCCCCUCCCCCCAGAAAAAAGUGAGGGCUGGAAAAGAUGCUGGGUCUCAGCACGCAGUGCUCGAUCUCGAUUCAUGAAACCUACUUGUGGCUGCUCACUGCGCUGCUCUGGGUCAUGUUUGUUUCACGUGUUACUACUUUUGACUUCCCUCCUGUUAAAUCAGGCGCCAGAGAUAACGCUUGUAAGCAGGCAGUUGCUAUCUCAGUCACUUCUACUUUACUCGUUUAUACAGUAGGACUGAUUUUGAUCGAUCCCUAGAGAAAAUAAGCACUAACUAACAAGGCCAGCAGAGGUACCCACGCUCAGUGACUGAGACAGAACAUCCAAGAGAAAGAAAAGGAGCUGAAAAAGAUCUGAUCUGAAGCCCAGAAGACAAUACAGCAUUUCAAACUGCACUGAUACAGCAAAAAAGCAGCACAGUCCUGCUCUCCUCUCACACUGUAACCGAGACAACUGCAGCAGACUUAACUGGGUUAUUUCUUCUUUAAUCCAGACUGUUUCCAACACGUAACAUACUUUUUCUCAUGCCAUCGCAGGAAGUGCCAGAUGCUAAAAUAUUCGAGGUGACUCCGAGUGGUUAUUCACAGGGUUCAACCAACACGCUUUAAACCAUUUCCCCUAGUUAAGAGACAGAAAGCUGUCCUGCACUAAUUGUCCCCGCAAAUAAAUACAGCUUCAUAAAACCUGUGCCGGUUCCGAAAAAAUGAAAGGCUCUGUGGAAACGUCCCUGUCAGAACAGAGAGCUCCCUUCUAUCUGAUCUCCAGAGCCCAUAGCAGCUACCCAGUCAGUUCUGUCCCAAAAGUGAAAGAUGAAAUAUGUCAGUGCACAGCCACUUGGGCUGGCUGUUCACCCAACAUACUCCUAUUGCUCUGAGGGGGCACAGUGGUAUCAGUCCACCCCCGCUAUUCUGGCUCAUUUGUAAACCCUAAGAGGCAUGUCUUUACAUGCAACUGCUUGCACAGACAACUUCCCUUUUCAGCACGGCACCCUACCCCACAGCCAUAAUAAAAUGUAAAUUACGUGCCACACACCUCUCUGACGUGCCCUAUGUAUUAUAAACUUAUUCUGCAGCACAGGCUUUCUGGUCAACCCCUCAUGUGUAGAAUGCUAUAGCAAUGGAGUUUUCUGGCUGUAUAAAGGGGAAAAAAACACCUUCAACUUCUGCAAGCAGCUGCUACAUUUAAUUUUCUUUUAUUUAGAGACAUCAAUUUUGUUAUGACCUUUUAUCUUUUGGUUUGCUUUUUUUUUUUGCCAAAAAAAGUAUUAGCAGCAUUGCCAAUCCCAAGCACUCAAAAAUCAUGAAACAGGUCCAAAAAAACAGGCUGGCUUAAUGACAAUCAGAUUAAAGAAAUACAAUAAAAAUGUAUGUUCUUUUUAUUGGCAGUACGAUUGUUGAGCCCUGAGACUUGGUUCUUUCAAGGUAUUCCCCCCAGCCAAACAAGAAGGAGAAGUGAGGAAGAGGAGAAGGAGCUGAGCGUGCUACUCCAUCCUGUCUGGUUCCAGAACUCGGGGGAAAAAUGUCAGAAGAACUGAAAACAUUCCUGAAACUGGAGUAAAAGACACUCGGGCACACCACUAGUGGCCAGUUACCCUGGGAAGUAUCCUCACGCCAGGCAAAGUUCAGUGCUUGAGAGGAAAUGGGGACACCGAAAACUCAAACAAGCUGCAAGCAACAAGAACUGCUAAAAAUGUUCACAAAAGCACGGGAGGAUUUAUACAAUUAUACCCAUGGUAAUAACCAGCAAAAGAUCAGAGACUGUAAACUUUUCCAUUCGUGCUACAAUCUUUUAGUAACUGCAUAUACUCCGACCUGAGGUGAACAUAAAACCACUCAUCUGGAACCCACUGUCCUGUCAGUCACCCAACUGAGUCACCAGAGCUCGUGGCAUUUCUAUGAUGAGUAUCUCCAGGACCUUUACUGCCAGGCAAGGGAAGUACAGACGUUUUGCAGGUAGAUAACGGCACGGACUCCAUUCAGGUGCCCGUGCUGACCAGACCCCGCGGCAGACAGCACAUGCUUGUUAGACAGAAGAAAAGGGCAUUGCUUUCUUACCUCACUGACAGCGCAUCUCUGUAUGGCGAAGACGACAGCGAAGGUGGUCACUGUCCUGCAGGGGUCAACGAUAAAUUCACAGCUUGUAUUGCUCGCCCGUCUGGCUCGGCCUGCGGCGUGACUGUCGAUCCCAAAGUUGAGGAGGCACUUACUGUAAAGUGUCAGUGGAGAGCGCUCUGGGGACAGCAGCAGGCCCGGAUGUCUGGACGAACGUGCCACUCAGCAACGAGAUGGUGCAUCUACAGCCAUGUGGCAGACAGCAAAAAUAUCCUCACCCAGCUAAUGCAAGGUUCAUUGAUUUAAUGAAAGGAACCAUGGGAGAGAGGCAGAGGCUGGAGACAGCUGGAAAUCAAGUGGAGGCCCCGCAGAAGUUGCCACCCCAUCCUCUGCAUUCUGUUCUGCAGACGCGGCAUUCUCCCGCCUGCCACCUUUUUUUAUUCCAGUUGUACUCCUGUUACCUCAGGAGAAAGGAAUCUUUCCUUCUCAAACCUCCACCUUGCCAAGAGGUGUGGCACACGCCAUGGAAGAGAAGCCACAUUCAUGCUGAAGCAAGCUUUGGGCAACUUUCCCUUCUGCGGCAGGCUCGU
rnacentral:lncRNA from 1 species